rnacentral:rRNA from 1 species
GAUGAACGCUGGCGGCGUGCCUAAUACAUGCAAGUCGAGCGAACAGACGAGGAGCUUGCUCCUCUGACGUUAGCGGCGGACGGGUGAGUAACACGUGGAUAACCUACCUAUAAGACUGGGAUAACUUCGGGAAACCGGAGCUAAUACCGGAUAAUAUAUUGAACCGCAUGGUUCAAUAGUGAAAGACGGUUUUGCUGUCACUUAUAGAUGGAUCCGCGCCGCAUUAGCUAGUUGGUAAGGUAACGGCUUACCAAGGCAACGAUGCGUAGCCGACCUGCGAGGGUGAUCGGCCACACUGGAACUGAGACACGGUCCAGACUCCUACGGGAGGCAGCAGUAGGGAAUCUUCCGCAAUGGGCGAAAGCCUGACGGAGCAACGCCGCGUGAGUGAUGAAGGUCUUCGGAUCGUAAAACUCUGUUAUUAGGGAAGAACAAAUGUGUAAGUAACUAUGCACGUCUUGACGGUACCUGGUCAGAAAGCCACGGCUAACUACGUG